UGAUUCGAUCGGGAUACUCAUCAAAUAAUUUUGGAAACCGGGACGUUUCUCAUGCUGAUGGCGGGCCACAUAAAACGCAUUCUGCGACUAAGCCGCAAGGCCAGUGGAUUACAAAAGCUGGGAGCUCUCAAAUCUUUUAGAUUAGGAGUUUUCAUCACAUCCUCGCACGGCUUCUUU
rnacentral:sRNA from 1 species